rnacentral:lncRNA from 1 species
CACUGCCUGACGCGGCUUGGUAACCCGGCCCACGGCAGCACGGGCAGCCGGAGAACCCGACACUUCUCUAUCAUCAGCCUGGAUGAAGAGAGAGAAGUGCCUGGGUAACCUGGAAGGUGCUGCCUCUCUCUGUCGGAGAGUGGGGACAAUGCAGGAGGUGGCUUUUGCCCUACCUGACAAAGAGGAGGAAAACCAGCUGGGUUCCCAGUCAGGGCUCCAAGCAGAUGUCUGCAUUAUAGGAUAAAAGAGCUAAAUGAAAAUAACUUAUGUACAGUGAAAACUGGACUAUGGCAUCUUCUGUCACAAGUCAUGCAUCUCCUCAGGGUGAAAAGCUUUUCACAUCACAAGACACUUGUUUGAUUGUGACUUACCAUUUCCAGACAGCAAUGCUUCUUGUGCACCAGCUGCCAUCUGCGGUAUCAAGAGGAGUCACUGGGCUCUCCAAUGGUUAUACUGAUGUUUAGUCUCAGACUGAGUCGAGGAUCAGGCCAAGGCUGCUUCAGGGACCCAGGAAGCAUAAUUUCUGGCUCCCACACAGCCUUCACCUGCAAAGCUCUGAGCAGAGUCCAAAAUAUAUUUUGCAUACAAAUUAAUGAGAUACAUUUAUAGCACCCCUUAGACAGCUUUAUUCUGUUAGUGCUUACCUUUAUUACUGUGUAACAUACUCAGCUCUCAUUGUCAUAAAUUGUGCUCUACUUUUGAAGGGGGAGAAUAAUUCCAUAUAAAAGAUAAAUAAAUAUGAGGAGCAAAAUGUUGUCA